rnacentral:rRNA from 1 species
GAUGAACGCUGGCGGCGUGCUUAAUACAUGCAAGUCGAGCGAAGCACUUUAACGGAAUUCUCCGGAAGGAAGGUAAAGUGACUGAGCGGCGGACGGGUGAGUAACGCGUGGGUAACCUGCCUUAUACAGGGAUAACAUACCGAAAGGUAUGCUAAUACGGGAUAAUAUGCUUUUAUCGCAUGGUAGAAGUAUCAAAGCUCCGGCGGUACAGGAUGGACCCGCGUCUGAUUAGCUAGUUGGUAAGGUAACGGCUUACCAAGGCGACGAUCAGUAGCCGACCUGAGAGGGUGAUCGGCCACAUUGGAACUGAGACACGGUCCAA